GCUACCACUUCAGUAGCACAUAUACUAAAACUGGAAUAACACAGAGAAGAUUAGCAUGGCCCCUUUAAGAGAGAAAAAUUUUAAAUAUAU
rnacentral:snRNA from 1 species